GUGUUUUGCUGCAAAUAAGCUCUUAGCCUGUAUUAGAUGCAAGAAUAGAACCAUAGAAUUACAUAUUAUUUUUUAUAUAUAGUUUUUAUAUAUUAAUAUAAUCUUUGCAAAUGUAGAGAUUAUGCACACAAUAGUAAAAAUUGGCAUUUGGAAGGACUAGCAAAGGAUAUGAUGCUGCCAAAUAGUUUUCUAAAUCAGUCCCAAAUGUGGCCAGGCCUCCAUGUUGGGCCAGUGCAUCAGAGGAGCACUGAGUACUCAAGAGAACAACUGGAAAGGCAAAGCCCUGGGCAUCACAUUCAGCUCUACUUCACUUUCAUGUGUGAGUUGGCUAACGUGACUAAGGGACACGAGGAGCACGUGCUAUUCUCUACCUAUGAGUACUCAAGAUACACGGUUGCAAAUUUUGCCAUGCAGAAAGGAUAUCUGAUAGCUAAUCAGGUCACAGCUGUCCAAAUGGAAAAGAACAAUUCAGUAACACAGCAAGCCCAGGGUUCUCCAUCUUCAGCCUCACUGACAUCUGCAGUGCCUGUCUCUGAUGUUAGAAAAGGGCCUUACCCACUGUCCAGCUUCAUUUCCUGCUAAAGUAUCCAGGUGCACUGCUGAGCUGCUGGUCUGUCUUGAAGGCUGCAAUUUCAGUGAGGCAAAUCCAUUAUCCAGAUACAUGUGCUCUCUGCAGAUGAUCCUGAAUCCAGCAAAAUCAAGGGGAGACCACACGUGAAGAUCAGGCACACCAGCUGCUCCACGCAGGCACGACUUUGUUGAGUGAGACCACAUAACCACAUUACUUCACACCAGGAGAAACAAUGUACUGAAGUUGAUUUUAAGUGAUCUCUUAAAAUUGACUCAAUCUCUCAGUUCACAGUAGUCCAAGUACUUGAAAUAUGUCAGUAGAUUCAUUGCUAAUAUUAUGUUAAUUUGUGCUCCCAGGUACGUUGAAGGAAUUUCUAGUAAUAUGACUAGGAGUAAUGAACAAGCAUAGAGAGAACUGAUUUUAAGAGAACUUACUUAUGCUCUAAAAAUAUGUUACCAUCAUCUCAAAGCUGUCUUUUUGCUUUCUUGUCACAGACACUUUCUAUUUUCCUUCAAUCAUUUCCCAAACUGCAUACAAGCAUUUUAAGUCCUUGUGCAACUUGGAGUUUUAACACACUUUUGCCUAAUUUCAAGAAUUAUGGGGAAUGUUUGCUGUACAUGUGAUUUUUGUUUGAGCUAUCCUGUCAAAGACACACAUGCUGGUCUUCAUCCCUUUUGUUACAAAAUACAAUCAAUGCAGUGUGUAUGUGUUUAUCUAUACAUCACACUCUCCAGUCUGCGUGACAUAUUUGUGGUCUGUUUUUCUAAAAUCAUAAUUGUGACUAUGUAAGCCUUCCAAUCCUGCACUUGGAAAGUCUCCCAGAUUUCUUCCUGAUUCCCAUUGAGAACUCCUGUGCACCAGCAGUAUUUUGAGAAUUAAAAAAUAUAUAUAUAGGUAAUUAUGUACUUAGCUAUCUUAUGUCACUAAAUCACAUGCUGAUAAGUAGCUGCCAAAUUUUAGCCCUGUAUUCUUGGUUUUCUCCAGCACUGGGAGCCUUGCAUGUGUCAGAGGGAUUAUUGGCACUUUCCCAGGGAGGUGCCAGCUGUGCUUGAACCAGCUGUGCUUCUCACUUCUGCCUCUGUAUCACUGCCUGUGUCUUUAGGCACAGUCAUUGAUGGUGAAUAUGUGCUUUAAUUUGAACUUCAGCAGUUUAAGUUCAAUUAUGGCUUUACUUACUUUUGACUUUUAGGACAAAAUUACUUCUUCAAAAGUUGCUGCUUGAUUAAACUGUCUGUGUUCAAUCAUUACCAAUGCUUUUGUCUUACAAUUUAUUUUCUCAAUUGACAAUUACAGAACAAAUGAUAUUUAAUCAUGGUGUGUUUAUACUAGAUAUAUACAUAGUAAUACAUUCUUAUAUCUGUGUCUCAUAUAGUUUUGUGCACAAUGUAAAUAGCACAUAUUUUCUAAACAACACUUAUGCUUCAACAGCCUAAAUCUCCAUUUAUCCCACAAAUAAAUUUCUCCAAACCUUCAACCCAGAAAGCUAAACACUUGGUUGAAGUGGUGAACCCCUAACUUAAUGACGUGGUCUGUGCUGACGUCACUGGGUAUGACAGUAAAUCCACAGCAUAAAACACAGCCAACAUAAUGUCACCACAUCAAGUCUUAAGAUAAACUAAACCCCUUUCCAUUAAAAAAAAAAACUUUGUUUUCAUAGUUGGAGUAUUUUGCAGAAAUUUGAUUGUAUAAACAAAAUUGUCAAUUGAGAAUAAUGUACACUGUUCAUUUUAUUUCUUUUUAAUAUGACAUAUUUCAAUAAAAGAUAUAUUUCAUCAUUAUAAUUACUGUUAUUUGACUUUUAAUCUGUACUACUGAUUAUACCUUUUUAACACUGUAAUAUACAAUGACGAAGGACAUUCCCUGGGUUAAAGUGACAACAUUUUCUAGCUUCCUGUCUAAUGUUGACAACAAAGUUCCAGUUUACUUUUCUCCCUUUCAAUAUUUUAUAUUUUAUUUUUUAUUUCAGAAUAACCAAUGAAUUGUAAAUUCUGAUUUCUGUUCAAGACAAAAUCUGAAGAAUUUAUAAUUUAUAUUUAUUUAUGUACUUUCUCUGUGCCUCAGUUUCUCGUGUUGCAUAAAGGAAAAAAGAUGGACCUUCCAUUGUAAAGUACCUUGAGAUUUACUUAUGAAAAUAAGUUUAUGUAAUAUUUAUUUGGUCUUGCUUAUCAUGCUCUUAUUCUUUUUCACCAAGUCCUCUAAGGAACAUAUUCUCAGAAGCAUGAUGCUACUCAAAAACACACUGGAGGAGCAUGGAGCCGUGGGGCUGGUGCAAGCACUUUCAGCUCAUCCUCAGCUUUGUCCUUUCUGCCUUAAGCUGGUGUCCAACUGCACCCACCCAUGGCAAGUGGUGGCAGAAGUCUACAAUCCUGUGUGUCUGAUUUCCCCUUUAGGAGAAGGAGCAGGGAAGAGAAAGUCUUGAAUAUAAUGAUCUCUUGCAUUUUAAUGUUUCACUAACUUGCCAUGUUAUGUUUAAAAACCAGACCACAACCCUGCAGUGGCCACGUCUUCGUUACUACACCCAAGGCAAUGGAGUCAUCACUGGGAUCUCAGUUGAGUCCUGUCCUGUCAUGGAACAGCUGUCUUGAAUUAAAAGCAGUGACUCAGAUCAGGAAAUUGGUAAGGAAAAUAUUUCUGUAUAGGUCUAGUUUUGAAAUGCUAAUACUUUUGUAUGAAUUGAGUUUAAUACAUUUUUAAGCUAAAAAUGCCAUACUAAUAUAGUGGAAUUUACUUGAAUAUAUUUAUUAGCAUCCAGGUGGAGUAAUGUAAUUCUCUAGGAGAUAAUCUGUGGUAUGAGCCUGACAAUGCAGAGCAUUUGUUGCUUAUCCUCUUCCACAUUCUGCCAUUACAUAUCUGCAGCAAUUCGCCUUGCAAAAUGUUCACAUUACUGUCUUAAGUAACAUGUGCUCUUAUUUAGAGUAGAGUAUGACAAAGACCUGAUGGGAGGAAAGGCAGGAAGGUUUCCAACUGCAUGUAUCCUGAUUGCACUCACCUGACUUCACUCCUCCAGACAGGGUUGUAUGUACCCCCAUCGACUGGAGCAAGGGCAUCAGCUGGCUUUGUUCUUUCCCAAAUAAGUCCACGCAGAAAAGUUUGGGAUCAUGGAACAUAUUUUGAAAGAAAAUGGCUCUUGGCUGUGCACAACUAGAAGUAGCUGCUAGUAGCGAAAGUGUGGGCACUGUGCAGAGAAAAUGUCCUCAUUUACUUGAGCAAAACCACAUAGGUGCAACUAAUGUUACCUUUUGAACUCUCUGGAAUUCAUAGCAGAAACUAACUGUGCAGUGUACCAGUCUGAUUGUGCAUACACAAUGGGAAAUACUUUUCUGCUUGCUUAAAUGUUCUCUGUAGAUAAAUUGGAUGCCAUUUAGUAAGUUCACACACAAAGCACAGGAUAUUUUGGCUAUCCUCUUGCUCCAUAAGAUAGCUCUGUACAGCAAUGAGCAGAAGACACAACCCUAGUCCAAGGGUAUCUCACAAGUAACAUCCAGAACCUUGGGAGGACAGGAUGUGUGAGGCAUUUAGAAGUCUUAUAAAGUUUCUGUUAAGGCUGGAAAAAUUGCAAAAUUGCUGUUCAAGUCCUAUUUAAAUUCUACUUCCCACUGUUUUCCAUUAUGUUUGAAAACCUAGUAACAGUUAGUUCAACAGCCUGUCAAAGAAGAAAAAAAAAAAAAAAGAAAAAAGAUUACUUUUCAGUAAGUGGGAGGGCUGAUAAAAUUACAGCAGCUGGGUGUCUAUUCCUGCAAGCUUCAUUGUGCAGAGCUACAAUGGAUCUUCCUACAGAAAGCUAAUCAAGGUGGAAGAGAAAAAUUGGGUUCAUUAGCAAUCUCCAUCACUGAAAAGUCAAAUAAUUUUUCACUCUUCAGUUGAGUCCAAUUACAAAGACAUUACUAGAAGUUCUUUCUCGGUGACAGUACUUUGGUGGUGGGUUUUUUUUUUUUUUUUUUUUUUGGCACUUUGCUUAUUGUGCACUCACAUUGCUCCCAUCAGUGAGUGUAGAUUAACACCUGUUACUGUUUUUACAGAAAAUGAUGAAUGGUGCCAUUACUGGCACAGCUUUACCUGAGCAAAAUUGAACUUGCACAUUUUAACUUUUUCAGUUGCAGUAAUUACCACAAUUACUUUCAAAUUAUGGUUUGCAAAGACCUGCACCAAAGCUGAACAAUUGAAAACAACCAUCCACCCUCUUUCUUGGAGAGGGCUGUAGGCAAAAUGCAAACUACAGGCUUGCUUCAUGCCUCUCUGUGAUGAGGAAAAGUUAUAAGGCGCUGCCUCGUUUUGCCCUCUCAGCUGGCUGUUUUCAUAACACUGUAACAUACAUAUGAGAAUCUCACAUUUCACUUUAUAGCCACUUUUGAUUCAAAUAUGAAACAGAUAGUUAUAAAGCUUGAAUCAAAUCUCAAGUGCUCAUCUGGAUUUUUGAAGCCUGACGCAUGUGACUAAAUUAAUGGGCACAGGUGUACUUUGGCAUUAACUACGUGUAUCAGUUGCACCAGUCAUUAUAGUUCAUCUCACCUGGUGUUGACUGUCAAAUACUUGAGUUCUUGUCUAAGAUGCUCAUCAAGGUCCCCUCUGCAGCACGCUGGGGAUCAAGAGGCAUCAGUGCACCAAAGAUAAACGUGUGGUAUGAGAACAGCUGCUCUCCAGAAGUGCCUUUUUCUUUAUUUGGACUAUAGAGGGAGCCAAGACAACUUGGCUUGGACUAGAAGCCCUCCAGCUGAGCUGCAGGAAAAUUGGCCAUCAUCAGGUAGUCAUCUGCUUCCCUCUUGCCAGUCAAGCAGCUGUCUGUCACACAGUAGCACGUACUUUUGGGUAAAAUCCUUCUCUAUUAAAAUAGAGACGUCUCUGAAUGCAAAUCUUCUGUUUCUUUUUUUUGUCAGGCUUUGGUCCUUACAGAGAGGUGUACAUAAUUCAUAGCCCAUACUUUCUGAAAUGCAACAAUAAAAAUAUGUAGAUGUUAAGAGAUCUAAUCAUCUUUUAGACUGUUAAACCUAUGACUAAUGAAAACAUGAAUGACCUUUCUUAUUCUUUUUAUUUCCUGGAGCUAACCAUGAAACUCAGCAUCCCUUCCCUGUUUUGUGGCGAGACAAGAAAAUGUAUCUUUGUGAUUUAAUCUGAUAGAAUUUUUUCUGUAAAAUACUUUGCAUAAAAAUUGCUUCUUCAAAGAAAUAUAUUUUCCUGAAGGAAAAAAAAAAAAAGCAACAAACAAUUCUCAUAUCAUGUUUCUUGAGACUAACCAUCUCCAUUCAUACAAACCAACCAUUAUAUCUUCCUGUUGACAGCACUGUGUUUUCUUUUCUUUUUCUUUUUCCCUAGUACAUUUCUAGCAUGUGGAUCAAAGGUUUAUAGAUUCUUGUCUUUUCUUGAACCCACAAGCAAAGUAGC
rnacentral:lncRNA from 1 species